AAAAACUGGUGGUGGCAUUUCCCGACCUAGCGGGCGAUGCUUGUGUGCGUGUUUCUCACGUAAUGCUUCAAAACCCGCUUCAAUAAGCGGGUUUUUUUAU
rfam:Idiomarina woesei strain DSM 27808 genome assembly, contig: Ga0061064_101